CAACCAGUUACCAACCAGCACCAACCAGUUACCAACCAGCAGCCAGCACUGGUAAAAACCGCCUCUACCCGAGCGUCUCAGUCUAUAAAUCUGAGACUUCAGGUCAGUUUGCCUCCAGAAAUGCUCCGAACUUCGGUGGCGCACCGUCAGAGGGCGGGGCCGGUGGACAGCUGGUUGUCACGGCAACCCACCCGUUCACUGGGGAGCAGCCCGGUGACCUGAGCUUCGUCCCCGGAGACCGAAUCAGCGUCCUCACCAAGACCGACUCCCAGUACGACUGGUGGGAGGGACAACUGGCUGAUGGGCGAGUCGGGAUCUUCCCCGCCAACUUCGUCACGUACUGAACGCUGGCCCCCCCGGCGUCUAACGGAGGAACUGCAGCUGAGUGACUGUGUUACGGAGGGCGGGAGGGGUCGAGUCAAAACAUAUUUUUGGGGUUUGGCUUUAGAGCUGCAGCGAUCAGUCGAUUAACUGAAGAAUAAUUCAUCUGCAACUAUGUUCAGAUGCAAUUUCUUUCAAACAAAAUAACAUAAAAAAAAACUAAAAUUUGAUGUUUACAGGUCUUAAACUUAAGAAUCUGCCGCUUUUCUUCAAAUUUAAUAUUUGAUGUUAUCAGUUGAUGACAUUACCUCAUGCUUUGGGAUACUUUGAUUUCUGGUGUUUUAAAGACUAAAUAAUAAACUGAAUAAAAAAUUGCCAGAUUAGUAACAUAAAUAAUAAUUUUUUGCAGCCUUAUGUUAAUUUGCGGGUCUGUAAUUUCCUAAAAAUAAUUCAAGUAUAAUAGGCGUUAUCUCAAAAAAGGUGAUUACAUUUUUUCUCACAUUUUAAUAUUAACUUUUCACUAAGUGCGUAAAUUUCCCUCAACCACACAACGUUUCAUUCAGUAAGUAGCCUUUCGUAACUUUUUGUUAAGCACUUAACUUUUUGUUAGGUGAGUAACUUUUCGUUAGGCACGUUACUUUUUCGUAGAAGCAUUACGUUGCAUUAAGUGUUACUUUCAUUAAGUGUGUUACUUUUCCUUAGUAUGUAACUAAGUAAGUAUGUAACUUUCGGUUAACAGACUAAAUUUUCGUUCAGUACCCAACUUUUAGUAGGUGCAUUACUUUUUGUUUAGUUCGUUACUUUUCGUUUAGAGUCUAACUUUUCAUAAAGUGCCUAACUUCAUUAAGUACGUUACUUUUCGACAGGUGUGUUAAUAUAUGUAGUUAAUAUAUAAAAAUAAUAAUAAGAAGAAUGAUGAAGUUAACAGUUUGAUUGAGACAAUCAGCUGGUGUUUUUAUAUCUUUAAAUAUCGCAAAAUAAAUCUAAUUGAUAGAGAAUUUGCUUUAUUUCUGUCCAUUUUGUCAAAGAAAUGUUUAAAAAUUCAGUCAAAUUGAAAAAUAUAUGUCACCAUCGUGAAAAGUUCAUGCAUAUCUAAAAAUAGAUUGUUAGAUGUGUGUUUGUGAAACUUUGACAUGAUUUUAAAGUACUUUUAAAUGGAAAAUAAAGUUCAGUUUGUAUCAGUUGAUUUGUUAAGGCUGCAGUUCCUCUUUUGUCCUGCAGAGAGCGCUGCAGCUUUAGGAAUCAAAUCUGACCGUACACCAAAAAUAGACUUUUAAAGGCUUCACGCAUAAAAACAUGAAAAUAAAAUGAUGACAAUAAUUUUUAAUAUAAACAUUUUAUUUGCUAUUGUACU